AACGCGAAGAACCUUACCUAGGUUUGACAUAUGUGAGAAGCCUCUAGAGAUAGAGGUCUCUUUGGACACUCAUAUACAGGUGGUGCAUGGCUGUCGUCAGCUCGUGUCGUGAGAUGUUGGGUUAAGUCCCGCAACGAGCGCAACCCUCGUCUUAUGUUGCCAGCACGUAAUGGUGGGGACUCAUAAGAGACUGCCGGGGUCAACUCGGAGGAAGGUGGGGAUGACGUCAAGUCAUCAUGCCCCUUAUGCCUAGGGCUUCACGCAUGCUACAAUGGCCGGUACAAAGGGCUGCGAUACCGCGAGGUGGAGCGAAUCCCAAAAAGCCGGUCUCAGUUCGGAUUGGGGUCUGCAACUCGACCCCAUGAAGUCGGAGUCGCUAGUAAUCGCAGAUCAACAACGCUGCGGUGAAUACGUUCCCGGGUCUUGUACACACCG
rnacentral:rRNA from 1 species